GGAUGAACGCUGGCGGCGUGCCUAAUACAUGCAAGUCGAGCGAACAGAUAAGGAGCUUGCUCCUUUGACGUUAGCGGCGGACGGGUGAGUAACACGUGGAUAACCUACCUAUAAGACUGGGAUAACUUCGGGAAACCGGAGCUAAUACCGGAUAACAUAUUGAACCGCAUGGUUCAAUAGUGAAAGGCGGCUUUGCUGUCACUUAUAGAUGGAUCCGCGCCGUAUUAGCUAGUUGGUAAGGUAACGGCUUACCAAGGCAACGAUACGUAGCCGACCUGAGAGGGUGAUCGGCCACACUGGAACUGAGACACGGUCCAGACUCCUACGGGAGGCAGCAGUAGGGAAUCUUCCGCAAUGGGCGAAAGCCUGACGGAGCAACGCCGCGUGAGUGAUGAAGGUCUUCGGAUCGUAAAACUCUGUUAUCAGGGAAGAACAAAUGUGUAAGUAACUGUGCA
rnacentral:rRNA from 1 species